GCGGCCUAUCAGCUUGUUGGUGGGGUGAUGGCCUACCAAGGCGACGACGGGUAGCCGGCCUGAGAGGGUGUCCGGCCACACUGGGACUGAGAUACGGCCCAGACUCCUACGGGAGGCAGCAGUGGGGAAUAUUGCACAAUGGGCGCAAGCCUGAUGCAGCGACGCCGCGUGAGGGAUGACGGCCUUCGGGUUGUAAACCUCUUUCAGUAUCGACGAAGCGCAAGUGACGGUAGGUACAGAAGAAGCACCGGCCAACUACGUGCCAGCAGCCGCGGUAAUACGUAGGGUGCGAGCGUUGUCCGGAAUUACUGGGCGUAAAGAGCUCGUAGGUGGUUUGUCGCGUUGUUCGUGAAAACUCACAGCUCAACUGUGGGCGUGCGGGCGAUACGGGCAGACUGGAGUACUGCAGGGGAGACUGGAAUUCCUGGUGUAGCGGUGGAAUGCGCAGAUAUCAGGAGGAACACCGGUGGCGAAGGCGGGUCUCUGGGCAGUAACUGACGCUGAGGAGCGAAAGCGUGGGGAGCGAACAGGAUUAGAUACCCUGGUAGUCCACGCCGUAAACGGUGGGUACUAGGUGUGGGUUUCCUUCCUUGGGAUCCGUGCCGUAGCUAACGCAUUAAGUACCCCGCCUGGGGAGUACGG
rnacentral:rRNA from 1 species